CAACCAAACAGCCCCUCACUCUUUCCUCAAGCGGUUCAAUCCGGUGUUUUAACGCUGCUGGGAAGUUACCGCUGGAUGCCCGCUUUGAGCUUAAUGAGGUGUACGGAACCCCUCCUGCAGGAUUCCACCUCAUCACCAACACCACGGUUCCCAUUUAGGACCCUCGGUCUCGGAUCGGAAGGCUUUCAAGAACGGCGCUCACAGCUGAGUGAAAGAAUCAAAAGUGGUGAGGCUUGUAAGAGCGUUCACCUGGCUUGACGCCGAACACUUUCCACGGCCAGCCACACACACAUUCCCAGGCUAUUGCUCCGGCAAAGAAAACGGCUUCAUCAGAAUUCUCCACAUCUCUUGGCCCAGAGCGCCUUUCGGCCGAGCUGGGAUUGGACAAGGUUCAUUACCCCUCUUUGAUGUAUUUCUUCUUUCAAUUUUACAGCCUCGCACCUUUUCCCUCGUCAGGAUCAACUCUGAGCACAGAUAAAGACCAACCCUUCACACGUCUGUUGUGGAUAGGGAGACAAAAAGGCUUCGGGCCUAGGUUUUCUUUUAAGGCCGACUGUGAAUAACAUGUGAAGAUGAGAGGGCAUCAUGUGAAUGCGAUUCUUUCAAUUCAUCGGGCAAAUUCGUAUCCUUAAUGACGGCUAACAAGCUGCUGCUUUGAGAAGGUUAAAUGUGCAGCCGGAUCUCUGAAAACAAUCUGUUUGAAGUGUUCUUGAUAAAAUGGACUAAAGCAAGUGCCAAAUGACCUCAAACAAGCUGGAGCCGGAGAGUCAUCACGCACGAUAAUGCGCACCAUCGGCACUCCUCGUCUUCACGCAUGAUUGCGCCGAAUGUUCGCGUAAAAGAUUGCGCGUGUCUGCCUCGUGAUGUGGAAGUCUGUCAGACACGCACAAGUUCACAAACAAACACGGAUCGACUGCACUUGUCAAUCAAGAGGGCUAAUUCGGUUUUCAUUUGCGACCUCAUUUAGCUCUAUGGAUAGACCUUGACAUCAAAAAAUUUGAAAAACUUGUUUUAGAAGACAAAGUAUUUUCUGUAACUGUAAAAGAGAGAUCAGAUUGGAGAGUUUUUCUUUUUCUUUUUUUUUUUUUUUUUUUUUGCUUUAUAUUUAAUCUCACUGCUGUCUUUGGAAAUAAUCGACAUAUUAACUACAUCUCAUUUUUUCUUUUUCUGUCCUACAGGAACAGAGACCUGUUUUGCAGUCCCACUGUAAGUCAGGUUCGAGAGCGGAUGUUAAUUUGACUGAAUCAUCAGCUUUGAGUCGAGAGGGGUCCUGAACGAUCCAGACCUGGACGGUUUGAGAACAGACAGACCCGGAUCUUCUGAAAUUACGGCGUCUCCCAACACGAGCAGGCCUGCCAACUCCCCUCAAAGCCCAAGAGGAUGAUUAAUGGGCAGUCGUACGUCAUUGAGAUGUCCUCCGAUGAAGAGAAAUGGAGCGCAGACGCUCGGCCCUUCAUCUUCCUUGCAUUUGUGUCUACAUCAUCUUCAGGAUAGAGAAAUCACUACUUCAUAAUGACCUGACACCCAGAUCACCACCAAAAGACGGUUUACGACUGGAAGAGAGAGAAGUAGAAGCUGAAAAACCCACAAACACGCUAAAUGUGACAUGCACUCAGAGCUCGGGGCAACGAUGAAAACUUAACAUCAAAAUGCUCUUUUCUAGCUGAGGUAGAAAUGCUUUCUCUGCUUAUUAGCAGUCCCCAAGGAGAGCCGCACGGCAGGAGAAAAGCAAAUACAAUAUCGCUCCAGUAACCUUAAAAGACCCCUGGUUCUUGAGUAAGUCAAGCAAACAUCUGCAGACAAGAGUGCCAGCCCAAAGACUCGGCCUGUUUGGCGAUUUGCGGCCAUCCUCUUUGUGCGAGCUGCUUCAGUCUGGUGGAAAGACAACAUUGAGUGCUCAUUUAAAAAACGCCUGUAAGGCUCCAAAUAGAACAUUUGGUACUUGACAUGAUUGCUUUGAGUAGAACAAUGCACACACAUAAACACUCCUUACAUGAACGUUUGAGUUGUGAUUGCUGAUUAUAAGGUAAUUGUAUUUCAGAUACAAUCCCUGCUGGAAAAACAAGGUCAGUGUUCCAGUUUUUGAUUGCUACCAGCCCUUCCCACCUUGACCAAUCCACUAACGUAGCCUUUUGUAAUGUGAAUGUAAUUUGAAUGUGGGAGGCUUCUGGUGUCAUUCGAUGCCAGGUAUUAUAGCUGUACAAAAACAGUCCGUUAUGCUGCUUGAUAUUGCGAACUAGUGUUGCUUAUCAUAUUAUUUUAAUCUAUAACACACUGGUUUUAGCGCAAACAGUCUUACAGUUCAAUGCACUUUGUUAUUCCUCUAGUUGUUUACUCAUAGCGGCUAAUGAAUCAGUGUCAGACAUUCACAGACAAUACAUUAUUUACAGGUUAUAAAAUAAAAGUGAAUAUGACCUAUCUGAUUGAAACCAGGUUCACCUGGAUAUAGCCCGCUCAUCUGAACCAAAAUUACUUUUGCUAGUUAGAAAUGAUGUACCAAAACUAUCCACCACCUUAAGAUAAACAUGAAGCACUUUUUAUAGUUACAGUGAUAUCCAAUGAAACAUAAACUCUCAUUUGUAUACAUUAUGAAUUCAUUUGGGAAAUGCCAGUGUAACAAGUGCUAAACUAUGCAAGCUACUCUUUAGACAAAUUAGCUAAGCUAAAACCUACCCUUCAGUUGCGCUAAGCUACACUGAAAAAAUAGCUUGCUACAUACAGUGAUUAUAUUUCCUCAUUGUGAAAAGAGAAAACAUUUUAAUAUUUCAAAAUGCUUCCCUGAUAAGUCAAUAAAAUAGCUUUGCUAAUGCUAAUUUAAAAUGUAAUGUAAACGCUAAUGCUACUGAAAAAAAAACAACAAUUUUCCACUUUUAGCAAAACUGUGGCCUUAAGCCCAAAGUAUAUACAAAGUUUGUGACUUGAACUCUUAGUGUUACUCUCAGCUGAAUGCAUAACUUCUAAAAGAAUACUCUAUUUAAUAGCAUGUGUGAACAUAGAUGCUCAACAUGCCAAAACUUGAAAGAAUCAUCUUAUUUUUUUGAGUUAUAAGUAUUUUGAGUUUCAAAAAUUUACUCAGAUUUUUACAGUACAAAUGUAUCAAUGCCAAAUAGCAGCGUAAAUCUUUAGCAGGUGCUAAACUGUACACAAUACUCCAUAGACGAUUCAGCUAAGCUAAAAGCUACUAUUCAGAGAAAGUAGUUAACUACAAGCUACACUGAAAAAAAGAAUAAUAAGUAAAUAGCUAGCUGAAUCCUUUAAAGCUUUAAAUCGAUUUUAAUUUUAUUUUUAAUUAAUAACACCGUUAAAUCAGUAAAACAGCUGUGCAACUAAAUGUUUAAAAGUGUCUAUGCAUUAGCAACGCUAUUGCCUAAAGUCCAAACCACAGUUUUGAUGCAAACCCUUAGCAUAUGUGUACUACAAGCUACAACUCCAUUUGAUAGCAUGUGGUGUUAAACACAGGUUAUCGACACUAGAAAGAACCAUCUCUAAGUUUAUGCACCAUUUCUCACUAUAAGUAAUACAUGAUUUAAAAAAAGGUAUCUGCAGAUAUUUUUUAACCCCUUCACACAACACAGUCAUAUAUAGUUCUUGAGUCUCUAGUUUUUUUUUGUUCCGUCUUCAUUUUUUAUUUUUUUUUUACAACGGUAAAACAAAAGCAGUGUUGUCACCUUGUGGACAAAUUAAGUAGCACAAAAAAUGUGCGUGCUCAACAAGCAAAGUACACAUGGUUUCAAAAAUCUGUGUCUAAAAAUUUAAGUAGACUAGAUGUUACACUCCAGAUAAAGAGAAGAGGUUGACAAGUAUGAAAAAUUGGUGACGUAAUCCGAAAAUAAAUGUCUGAACCUUCCCAGCAGGCACAGGAUGUUAAUUUAACAUCAAGUUGACGUUACAUUUUGGUCGAGAAUGAAAAUCGAAUUGAUAUCAGUAUUUGAAACCAAUUUGACGUUGAUUAGCAUUGGAUUUUUGUUACACAACCUAAAAAAAACAAAUAUCUACAUCAGCUGAUGUCGGUAUUGGACAUCAAAUUAAUAUUGACAUUAAAUGUUAAAUUGACAUUGAAUUGUAGUCACCCAGCAUCGCAACCAAAAUUAAACCAAAUAUCAACUUCUUGUGACAUUGUGUGCCUGAUGGGUAACUUCUGUUUGUGUCAGGUCCUCUUCUCUGUUGUUUUGUCCCCUCUCCACUAUCCUUCUAUCAACAGUGGCAAAAGCCCAAAAAUUGAAAGAAGGCUUCCUGGGGGAAGAAAGCCUAAGGGCGCAUUUUGUUGCGGGGGAGCUUUCAGCAAACGCACGGUCAGAAGUGCAACUCUUUGAAUAUCCAUGGUGACCAGUCUCUGUUCCUCUAGUAUGUUCACAGGCUGAGUGAAUUUCUACUCAGAAAGAGAGACCCCACAGGCAACCUACGGCAACCAAAGUGGCAUGGAGGGAAAAGAGAGUGAAAGAAAAGAAGAUUAAGACAACUGAGGAUUGAACAGACUGUCCUUUUCCCAACCUGUCACUUUGGACACAUGAUGUUCAUUGUGGGGAGUUUGUUAAUGAUUGAUGGGGCACAUAUAGGUGGGACUGUGAGGGGCGCAUACAUUUUUUGUACGUCUUCACAAUGAUAUGUGUACAUGUUUGUGUGAGUUCUCUGUUUUGGUGUAUGAAGGCCUGUGGUUGUAUGGCACAUAUGGCCAAACUCUCUGGAGCAGCUGAAAUGGCGUGUUGAGCAACAGCUGCCCAUGGCUUUACCCUGACUUGGCGGCGCAGGCCACUCUUCUCCGGCUGUGACAAGAGGAUCUUCAGAUGCUGCCAGGCUAGUUUACUCCUCUGGCCUGGGCUGCAGUCGUUCGCAGCCAUGUUCUGUCACAACCAAUUGGUGUGAGAUCAGCAUCCCGAAGCGCCCAACAGCAGACAUCUACACACAAUCCAAACUGCAGUUAUCCCAUUAUGCAUCUUGAUGUGUUCACAAUACUAAUACUGCUCCUAUUCCUGCAGUAUGCAAUGUGUAGAGUAUACUACGUGUGCUAUUUUAAGCAACAAAGCACAGUACAAUGAACAUAUGCACUGUUAUAUAUCUGUAUGCACAGUUACACUGUCAUCCAGGAACUCUAUUUUUAUAUUAAAUAUAUUUGAGUUUACAUUUAAUUCAAUAUUGUAGAUAUUUGUC